rnacentral:rRNA from 1 species
GUGCUGCAGCUAACGCUUAAGCACUCCGCCUGGGGAGUACGACCGCAAGGUGAAACUCAAAGGAAUUGACGGGGACCCGCACAAGCGGUGGAGCAUGUGGUUUAAUUUGAAGCAACGCGAAGAACCUUACCAAAUCUUGACAUCCUUUGACAACUCUAGAGAUAGAGCCUUCCCCUUCGGGGGACAAAGUGACAGGUGGUGCAUGGUUGUCGUCAGCUCGUGUCGUGAGAUGUUGGGUUAAGUCCCGCAACGAGCGCAACCCUUAAGCUUAGUUGCCAUCAUUAAGUUGGGCACUCUAAGUUGACUGCCGGUGACAAACCGGAGGAAGGUGGGGAUGACGUCAAAUCAUCAUGCCCCUUAUGAUUUGGGCUACACACGUGCUACAAUGGACAAUACAAAGGGCAGCGAAACCGCGAGGUCAAGCAAAUCCCAUAAAGUUGUUCUCAGUUCGGAUUGUAGUCUGCAACUCGACUACAUGAAGCUGGAAUCGCUAGUAAUCGUAGAUCAGCAUGCUACGGUGAAUACGUUCCCGGGUCUUGUACACACCGCCCGUCACACCACGAGAGUUUGUAACACCCGAAGCCGGUGGAGUAACCAUUUGGAGCUAGCCGUCGAAGUGGACA